rnacentral:rRNA from 1 species
UAAAUAGAUACCCCGGUAGUCCACGCCCUAAACGAUGCGAACAGGAUGUUGGGUACAUUACGGUACUCAGUGUCGAAGCUAACGCGUUAAGUUCGCCGCCUGGGGAGUACGGUCGCAAGACUGAAACUCAAAGGAAUUGACGGGGGCCCGCACAAGCGGUGGAGUAUGUGGUUUAAUUCGAUGCAACGCGAAGAACCUUACCUGGCCUUGACAUCUGUCGAAUCCUGCAGAGAUGCGGGAGUGCCGCAAGGAACGACAAGACAGGUGCUGCAUGGCUGUCGUCAGCUCGUGUCGUGAGAUGUUGGGUUAAGUCCCGCAACGAGCGCAACCCUUGUCCCUAGUUGCCAGCACGUAAUGGUGGGAACUCUAGGGAGACUGCCGGUGACAAACCGGAGGAAGGUGGGGAUGACGUCAAGUCCUCAUGGCCCUUACGGCCAGGGCUACACACGUACUACAAUGGUCGGUACAGAGGGUUGCGAAGCCGCGAGGUGAAGCCAAUCCCAGAAACCGAUCCCAGUCCGGAUUGGAGUCUGC